GCACCAUUACCGGCUCUGAAGGAAACCCUUUCAUAAAAAUACUUAUUCUGUUCUAUGGCCUUCUGUGCUUCUCUCUGCUCUUGGUUGCUUUGCCAUGGCUCCUCUUUUCUUCUCCCCUUUCUUGUUUUCGAUCUCCAUUCUUACUCAAUCUGUGAAUAAUAUCUAUCAUCAACAACAGUUGCUCUUGCAAUUCCAAGCUGCUAUUACUAAUAACAACAUUUUGCUGCCCGACUGGAAUCCCCUUAACCUCCUCUGCAAUUGGACCGGCCUUACUUGCGAUCCCUCUUCUCUCUCUCCUCGCCCUUAAUUAAUCCCAAAUGGGUUUAGACGGCACCAUUUCUCCGCUACCCGGGAAUCUUUCCUCUCUUCAGACCCUCGAUCUCUCUUACAAUGUCCUCACAUGUAUCAUUCCACCUCACCUCAAUCAGCUAUCCGGUCUGCAAACACUCAGGCUUAGCCGCAAUCAAUUACAAGGUAUGAUUCCUCCCACUCUCUGUUCUUGGCGCACUUUGUUUCGCUUGUCCGUCUUCUUUAACCAACUGCCUGGUAGCAUUCCGCUCGACCUGAGUCUCCUCGCAAGUUUGAAGUUCCUUUAUUUGGGAGCAAACAAUCUCACAGGUACCAUUCCCCUUCCUUUCAAAAAUCUGUGCGCUUUAGUUGGAUUGUAUUUGGAAGAUAGUGAUCUCACAGGUACCAUUCCCCCUGAAUUGGGCGUGCUCACUCACCUCCAAUUUCUUUUCCUUCAAGUCAUAAGUAUCUCUGGAAAUCGACUUACUGGGGUGUUUCCAAAUUCUCUAGGAGAUUGCACAGCUUUAGAGCAUCUAAAUCUGUCUCAUAAUGCCUUUGAAUGUCCAAUACCAGAUUCACUUUCCAAAUUAAAAAAUCUACAUGAAAUGGAUCUUUCUUUCAAUAAUUUGUCAGGAGAGAUUCCAGAACGAGGGUUGUUUGCAAAUAGAACUGUUUUAUCAUUGUUUAUGGGAAACCUUGGCCUAUGUAGUUCAACAAAUUAUUCUUUGCCUCCAUGCCCAAAUCAGACCCAAGAAAAACAUUCAAUCCUCAAAAAAUAGUCUUAUCGGUUGUCGGAACCAUUGCAUUUAUUCUAUGCACCUUCAUUAUAGUAGUGGUAUGGAGACAUAAACUUUCAAGACAACCAUUCCAUCCAUCAAACAUUACUUUUCAAAGGCUUGGCUAUCAAAAAUUUUCUUAUCAAGAUCUUGUCAUUGCAACAUCUAGAUUUGAUGAGUCAAACUUUCUUGGAGGGGGGUAAUUUUGGAUCAGUCUACAAAGGCAUUUUGAGGGAUGGUAAGAUGGGUGCCAUCAAGACUCUUAAUUUGCAGAAUGAAGAAGCUUAUAAAAGCUUCAACACAGAAUGCAAAGUCUUAGGGAAAAUUCGGCACUGUAACCUCAUCAGAAUCAUAAGUGCAUUUUGCUUCACUGGUUUUAAAAGUUUGGUUCUUCAAUUUGCAUCUAAUGAGAGCUUGGAAAAGUAUUUGUACCCUGAAAUUGAUGAUCAAGAUGUUUGUCAAUUGGGAUCGAGUGAGUGUUUGAGCAUUUCUAUAGAUGUAGCCCAUGUCAUGGAAUAUUUACAGGUACCAUUCCCCCUGAAUUGGGCGUGCUCACUAACCUCCAAUUUCUUUACCUUCAAGCUGUAGACAUCUCUGGAAAUCGACUAACUGGGGCGAUUCCAAAUUCUCUAGGAGAUUGCACAGCAGCGUUAGAGCAUCUAAAUCUGUCUCACAAUGCCUUUGAAGGUCCAAUACCAGAUUCACUUUCCAAAUUAUAAAAUGCACAUGAAACGGAUCUUUCUUUCAAUAAUUUGUCAGGGCAGAUUCCAGGAGGGUUGUUUGCAAAUAGAACUUUUAUAACAUUGUUUAUGUGAAACCUUGACCUAUGUGGUCCAACAAAUUAUUCUCUGCUUCCAUGCUCAAAUCAGACCCAAGAAAAACAUUCACUGCUCAAAAAAGUUGUCUUAUCGGUCAUUGGAACCAUUGUAUUUAUUCUAUGCACCUUCAUUAUAGGAAUGGUAUGGAACAAGGCAACCAGUCCAUCCAUCAAACAUUUCUUUUCAAAGGCUUGGCCAUCCAAAAUUCUCUUAUCAAUAUCUUGUCAUUGCAACAUCUGGAUUUGAUGAGUCAAACUUUCUUGGAGUGGGUAACUAUGGAUCAGCCUACAAAGGCAUUUUGAGGGAUGGUAAGAUGGUUGCCAUCAAGAAUCUUAAUUUGCAGAAUGAAGAAGCUCAUAAAAGCUUUAAUGCAGAAUGCAAAGUGUUAGUGAGGAUUUGGCACCGUAACCUCAUCAGAAUCAUUAGUGCAUUUUUCUUCACUGGUUUCAAAGGUUUGGUUCUUCAAUUUGCAUCUAAUGGGAGCUUGGAAAAGCAUUUGUACCUUAAACAGAUGAUCAAGAUGUUUGUCAAUUGGGAUUGAUUGAGUGUUUGGCAUGGAAUAAUUACAUCAUCAUUGUCCUAUGCAACUUGUGCACUGUGAUUUAAAAUCUAGCAAUGUACUCUUGGAUGCCAACAUGACAGCCCUUGUGAAACUCCAUAGAUUCACAGAGGACAACCUUUGCAUUCAAAGGAUCUACAGGCUAUAUUUCUCCAGAGUAUGGACUUGGCGGGAAUGUUUCUAUAGAGGGAGAUGUCUAUAGUUAUGGAAUUCUGACAUUAGAGAUGGUUACAAGAAAGAGGCCAAGUGAUGACAUGUAUGUGGGAGACAUGAACUUGCAAAAGUGGGUGAAAUCAGCUUUUCCAAACAGACUGGCAGAUAUUGUUGAUGGUGGCCUAUUUAGUGAUGUGAAUGAAAACAUGGAAGACAAUAGAUGUCUUCUUUCUUUUAUUUAUGUUGGUUUGCUUUGUACCAGUGAAUCAACGAGAGAAUGACUUUCCAUGAGAGAUGUAGUCAAGCUCUUGGAGAGCCUCAAGACAUCUUUCAUGGGAGGUGCAGCUGCUUCCAAUUUAACAUAUACCAUAUGAGACCUCCUACACAAUGUCAAUCCCACAGAAACAUUGACCUCUUACAGUCAAAGUUCUACAUUUUAGAUGUCUAUAUGUUCCAUUAAUCUAUUUGUUUGUAUUUCGUGUUUGCUAGUGUCAAGUUUGUCUUCCAUCACAGGUUAGUCUUCUUUCAUGUAAAAUUCUCCUUGGGCUAAAUUAUAGCUGUUUGAGUUUGUAAGCUGAUCCAAGUAAUGUGUUUGAGUUUAUGUAUUGUGGUUUAUAUACACUUUAUUAGAAUGAUGUGAAUUGUGUAAUAUUAUUGAUAGUGUGUAUUGUUGUUUAUAAACACUUAAUUGGAAUGAUGCAAACUGUGUAAUAAAUUGUCUUAUUUAUGGCAAAACCUCUCAUGCUAGGCGGAAGUUCAAGAAUUUGUUUUCCUUUUCUGCGUUGAUAUUCAUUAUCUCUGAACUCAAAAACAUGAGAGGGAGGGUAAAGCAUGAAUGAGAAUUUAAACGUCAUUGAUUUUUGAAGUUGUCUGAAUAAUUUUGUAACGGUUAAAUAAACAAUGGAUCAUGGAACUGCUUGCAUGAAUCACUCAAAUUUAAUAUAAUAAAAUAUACCCUUUAAUUGAGCAUUCAAAAUCUGACAAAAUUGUUAGAAUAGAUAAAUUGAAUCUAUGAUGUAUUUGCCUAUGAAUUUAAUAUGUGAUAACAGAUUUCUAAGCGUUCCAAAUCUGCUCUGUUUUUUUUUAUGGAGGAUUUUUCAUCCACAAAGUCGUUUUAGCUAUUCGAUACAUGAGUACAAGCCUUAGGCUGAACCUCUUUGGCUAAGAGCCAAGGACUGACAGGUAUCCAUUCCGCAAUUUCGCCCUGGGCACAAUCCCGGCCUCAUCCCUUUUUGAUGUCGGAGCCUUGGACUCAGCAAGACUUGUUUCCUGGUAGACUCAUUAAGAACCUUUCAACUUCACCAACAGAACAAAGGCUCAUUGACAAAUCUGCUCCGUUUUGUUUCUCUUUUUCUUUUCAUGGUAUUGGAACUUGUGAGGGAUCAUUAAAAUAAUUAGCAUAAUUAAUAUAUGGGGCGAUGUUAGAAUAGAUAAAUUAAUUAUCCACGCAAGUCUGUCAGCACAGACCAGCCACCUAGUGCUGCCUGCAUGCCACUUUCACCAAUCCAUAAUAAAUCCCUGAGCUAACUCUAUGCUACAGUAUACAUAGUGAUAAACAGAUUUCUAGGCGCUUGAAAUUUGCUCUGUUUUGUUUCUCUCUGUGUUUCUCUUUUUCUGUCUUACAUUAUAUCAAUUGCAUCAUGAAGGAGAGAGGCAGACGAGAAAAAAAGAUAAAAGCGAGAUGAACAGAAAAUGUUAUAUAUUUCAAAACAUACAAAGUCUGAUCAAGUAACACAGAUACAGAGUUGCUGUCAUGCAUUCAGAAAAUUGAAACAGAGUCACCUGUAUGCAAUCAAUUUACAUUAGAAACUGUCCUGGAUGCAGCGAAUGAAGAUAUAGAAAGAAAUGGAUUGAGCUGGAGAUAAAAAGUUUCACACGUUUGAACAGUCAGUGAAGACAUGGCGACAGCUGAGAGAGGGAGGCCAACUGUCUUAAUAUUUAGGUGGAGAGUAUUGAGGAAGUGCCAAAAGUCUUGAGUGGAUUAGACACGACCUAAUCUAAUGAACAGGGGACUUUCUCAAAUUUCUCUCUUGUUAGAAGGAUGAUCCCAUGGAAUAUUUCAUCAGCUCAGGAACAUUUUUUAUAACUAAAACAUAUGAUCCCGCCAGACAUUAUAACUUUUGCUAUAUAUUAAUAUGUUCAAGAAAGUACUAGGGUUACAUGUUGAUCAGGCCACUGAAAAUUCAAUUACAGGACUCUCUGUACCUUAGAAUUUGGCCUUUGGAAGCAAAUGGGGAGUAGAUUGAAUGAUAGGAUCCUUGUCUCUCAACAUCAGAAUAUUGCUACAGGCCUUCCCAAAAUAUAGAGGUGAAUUUAAAGUUUAAUCCCCAGUAUUGAAUUGUCUUUUUAAGGGCACUGCUAAUCACACGUCACC